rnacentral:rRNA from 1 species
ACUCCUACGGGAGGCAGCAGUGGGGAAUAUUGCACAAUGGGCGCAAGCCUGAUGCAGCCAUGCCGCGUGUGUGAAGAAGGCCUUCGGGUUGUAAAGCACUUUCAGUUGUGAGGAAAGGUUAGUCGCUAAUAUCGGCUAGCUGUGACGUUAGCAACAGAAGAAGCACCGGCUAACUCCGUGCCAGCAGCCGCGGUAAUACGGAGGGGGUUAGCGUUGUUCGGAAUUACUGGGCGUAAAGCGCACGUAGGCGGAUCGGAAAGUUGGGGUGAAAUCCCGGGGCUCAACCCCGAACGGCCUCCAAAACUAUCGGUCUAGAGUUCGAGAGAGGUGAGUGGAAUUCCGAGUGUAGAGGUGAAAUUCGUAGAUAUUCGGAGGAACACCAGUGGCGAAGGCGGCUCACUGGCUCGAUACUGACGCUGAGGUGCGAAAGUGUGGGAGCAAACAGGAUUAGAUACCCUGGUAGGCUCUG